rnacentral:rRNA from 1 species
UACGUGGGGUGCAAGCGUUAAUCGGAAUUACUGGGCGUAAAGCGUGCGCAGGCGGUUGUGCAAGACCGAUGUGAAAUCCCCGGGCUCAACCUGGGAAUGGCAUUGGUGACUGCACGGCUAGAGUGUGUCAGAGGGGGGUAGAAUUCCACGUGUAGCAGUGAAAUGCGUAGAGAUGUGGAGGAAUACCGAUGGCGAAGGCAGCCCCCUGGGAUAACACUGACGAUCAUGCACGAAAGC